rnacentral:rRNA from 1 species
AUUGAACGCUGGCGGCAUGCCUUACACAUGCAAGUCGAACGGCAGCGCGGGAGCAAUCCUGGCGGCGAGUGGCGAACGGGUGAGUAAUAUAUCGGAACGUGCCCUGUAGCGGGGGAUAGCCCGGCGAAAGCCGGAUUAAUACCGCAUACGCUCUACGGAGGAAAGCGGGGGUCGCAAGACCUCGCACUAUAGGAGCGGCCGAUAUCGGAUUAGCUAGUUGGCGGGGAAAAGCCCACCAAGGCUACGAUCCGUAGCUGGUCUGAGAGGAUGAUCAGCCACACUGGAACUGAGACACGGUCCAGACUCCUACGGGAGGCAGCAGUGGGGAAUUUUGGACAAUGGGCGCAAGCCUGAUCCAGCCAUGCCGCGUGAGUGAAGAAGGCCUUCGGUUGUAAG